rnacentral:rRNA from 1 species
GUCUACGGCCAUACCACCCUGAACGUGCCCGAUCUCGUCUGAUCUCGGAAGCUAAGCAGGGUCGGGCCUGGUUAGUACUUGGAUGGGAGAAAAGAUAAUAUAGUUGCAUAUU